UGUUUUGUUGACUUGCAUUAGCCUCCAUUA
rnacentral:piRNA from 1 species